GCUAGUGUAGCUCAGUCGGUAGAGCAGCUGAUUCGUAAUCAGCAGGUCUCUGGUUGUUGAUAAGGUGACAAAAUAGGAUAAGGUGAAAGUCAAUCCUCAUAGUA
rnacentral:tRNA from 1 species